GUUAGUAUUAUAGGUGUGGUACUAGACAGAUGGGUUAGUAUUAUAGGUGUGGUACUAGACAGAUGGGUUAGUAUUUUAGGUGUGGUACUGGACAGAUGGGUUAUGGGUAGUAUUAUAGGUGUGGAACUAGACAGAUGGGUUAGUAUUAUAGGUGUGGUACUGGACAGAUGGGUUAGUAUUAUAGGUGUGGUACUAGACAGAUGGGUUAUGGGUAGUAUUAUAGGUGUGGUACUGGACAGAUGGGUUAGUAUUAUAGGUGUGGUACUAGACAGAUGGGUUAGAAUUAUAGGGGUGGUACUGGACAGAUGGGUUGGUAUUAUAGGAAUGGUACUAGACAGAUGGGUUAGUAUUAUAGGUGUGGUACUAGACAGAUGGGUUAGUAUUAUAGGUGUGGUACUAGACAGAUGGGUUAGUUAUAUAGGUGUGGUACUAGACAGAUGGAUUAGUAUUAUAGGUGUGGUACUAGACAGAUGGAUUAGUAUUAUAGGUGUGGUACUGGACAGAUGGGUUAUGGGUAGUAUUAUAGGUGUGGUACUGGACAGAUGGGUUAGUAUUAUAGGUGUGGUACUGGACAGAUGGGUUAUGGGUAGUAUUAUAGGAGUGGUACUAGACAGAUGGGUUAGUAUUAUAGGUGUGGUACUAGACAGAUGGGUUAGUAUUAUAGGUGUGGUACUAGACAGAUGGGUUAGUAUUAUAGGUGUGGUACUAGACAGAUGGGUUAGUAUUAUAGGUGUGGUACUAGACAGAUGGAUUAGUAUUAUAGGUGUGGUACUGGACAGAUGGGUUAUGGGUAGUAUUAUAGGUGUGGUACU
rnacentral:lncRNA from 1 species